rnacentral:rRNA from 1 species
GACGAACGCUGGCGGCGUGCUUAACACAUGCAAGUCGAACGCUGAAGACCUGGCUUUUGUUGGGUUGGAUGAGUGGCGAACGGGUGAGUAACACGUGAGUAACCUGCCCUCUUCUUUGGGAUAACGCCCGGAAACGGGUGCUAAUACUGGAUAUUCACUGAUCUUCGCAUGGGGGUUGGUGGAAAGGUUUGUUCUGGUGGGGGAUGGGCUCGCGGCCUAUCAGCUUGUUGGUGGGGUGAUGGCCUACCAAGGCUUUGACGGGUAGCCGGCCUGAGAGGGUGACCGGUCACAUUGGGACUGAGACACGGCCCAGACUGCUGCGGGAGGCAGCAAUGGGGAAUAUUGCGCGAUAGGCGAAAGCAUGAUGCAGCGACGCGGCGUGAGGGAUGGAGGCCUUCGGGUUGUAUACCUCUGUCGCUCAUGGUCAAGCCGCAACAGCGGGUUGUGGUGAGGGUAGUGGGUAAAGAAGCGCCGGCUAACUACGUG